rnacentral:rRNA from 1 species
CAAGUCGAACGAGAAAGUGGAGCAAUCCAUGAGUACAGUGGCGUACGGGUGAGUAACACGUGGGUAAUCUACCUCUUAGUGGGGAAUAACCGAGGGAAACCUUGGCUAAUACCGCAUAAGCCUGAGAAGGGAAAGCAGCAAUGCGCUGAGAGAGGAGCCCGCGGCUGAUUAGCUAGUUGGUGGGGUAAGGGCCUACCAAGGCAGAGAUCGGUAGCCGGCCUGAGAGGGCACACGGCCACACUGGCACUGAAACACGGGCCAGACUCCUACGGGAGGCAGCAGUGGGGAAUCUUGCACAAUGGGGGAAACCCUGAUGCAGCGACGCCGCGUGAGCGAUGAAGCCCUUCGGGGUGUAAAGCUCUUUCGUCAGGGAAGAUUAUGACGGUACCUGGAGAAGCAGCUGCGGCUAACUACGUGCCAGCAGCCGCGGUAAUACGUAGGCAGCAAGCGUUGUUCGGAGUUACUGGGCGUAAAGGGUGUGUAGGCGGUUCUUUAAGUUUGGUGUGAAAUCUCCCGGCUCAACUGGGAGGGUGCGCCGAAUACUGAGGGACUAGAGUACGGGAGAGGAAAGUGGAAUUCCUGGUGUAGCGGUGAAAUGCGUAGAUAUCAGGAGGAACACCGGUGGUGUAGACGGCUUUCUGGACCGACACUGACGCUGAGACACGAAAGCGUGGGUAGCAAACAGGAUUAGAUACCCUGGUAGUCCACGCCCUAAACGAUGCAUAUUUGGUGUGGGCAGUUCAUUCUGUCCGUGCCGGAGCUAACGCGUUAAAUAUGCCGCCUGGGGAGUACAGUCGCAAGGCUGAAACUCAAAGGAAUUGACGGGGGCCCGCACAAGCGGUGGA